rnacentral:rRNA from 1 species
GGCUGCAUUCAGACCACCCUGAAAGUGUCGGAUCCUGUUUGAUCUCAGAAGCUAAGCAGGGCCAUGCCUAAUUAGUACUUGCAAGGAAGAAAUGACUAAGAAAAGCUGAGA